rnacentral:lncRNA from 1 species
UCUAAUUAGACCAUAAUAAUACUAAGCAAGCUUAAUCAAAUUCAAAAAAACCUCAAAGAAAUUUCAAACAAACAAUAAGAAUUUUUAAAGAAACAUUAGAAAGAACACAAAUGUCAUUCAAAUACAUCUCAAUUCAAUCUUAAUUUAAUUCUAGUUAAAAUCCUAUUGAACUUCAUAAUUCAAACUCUAAUUCGAAUUCUAAAUCUUAAACCAAAUCCUAAUCAAACCCUAAAUCCUAAAUCAAAUCCUAUUCAAAUCCUAAAUCCUAAAUCGAACCCCAAUCCAAAUCCUAAAUCCUAAACCAAACCCUAACCAAAUCCUAAAUCCUAAAUCAAACCCUAAUCCAAAUCCUAGACCCCAAACCAAAUCCUAACCAAAUCCUAAAUCAAAUCCUAAUCCAAAUCUUAAACCCUAAACCAAACCCUAAUCAAAUCCUAAAUCCUAAAUCAAACCCUAAUCCAAAUCCUAGACCCCAAACCAAAUUCUAACCAAAUCCUAAACCAAAUCCUAAUAAUUCCUACAACAGAUUUAAAUUCCAAUUACUAAUGCAUAAACCGUUGAUCUUAACUCAAAUUUUGCACACUUCUAAAAAAAUAAGUAAGAAAUAAGUACAAAAAAAAUUGAUAAGGAUCGAAAUUACCAAAUUGACGAUAUCCUCAAAAAUGUGCU